UACAGAGGGUGCGAGCGUUACUCGGAAUUACUGGGCGUAAAGCGUGCGCAGGCGGUUCGUUAAGUUCGUUGUGAAAGCCCCGGGCUCAACCUGGGAACUGCAAUGGAAACUGGCGGGCUUGAAUGCGGCAGAGGGGGGUGGAAUUCCGCGUGUAGCAGUGAAAUGCGUAGAGAUGCGGAGGAACACCGGUGGCGAAGGCGGAUCUCUGGGCCUUACCUGACGCUGAGGCGCGAAAGCUAGGGGAGCGAACAGG
rnacentral:rRNA from 1 species